AAUUGAAAUGUCCACUCCCUUGAUCCUUAGGAGGAAAUCUCCCAGCAGCAGGAAAGUGUCUCCAGCCUGUCUGCCAGCAUGCACCCUCAGCUCUCACCACAGCAAAGCUUGGAAACCCAGUACCUACAGCAUCGACUCCAGGUAGGACUUAGCUUUCUUAGUCUGGCUCCCUUUAUCAUGGAAGCCUGUUUUCCGUUAUGUAAGGUAGCUGUUUUAUUCCUUAUAGGCAGGUAAUUUAAUCCUACACUAGUGGCUAGAAACAUGCUCAAACUUAGCCUUAUUUCCUAUGUUGACAGAAGGAAAGGAUAAUGCCAUCACAUGCUGGGAAAGAGACCUGGCCUACCUCUAAUUUUAUAGAAUAAUAAGAUAAAUCUGUAAUCUACAGAAUUUUAGCAAGGCUGUCUACUCUGGUAUAUAAAGAUCCAAAAAAAUGACAUGACUGACAUAGGUCCCAUUCAGAAUGAAUCACUUAACAGGCACUGGGCCUUCCCGUCAAGAAUGAAGUCUGCUUUUCUCAUUGUUCUCCAUGAGCGUCCCAGUCCUGGAAGAAUUUCAUAAGUGGAAAACAAGUAGGCAAGAGCUAGAUGCCCAGACCUGCUGACCUAACGCCACUCGUCCAGGGUUCUAGUGGGCAAGUGUCCAUGCUUUCACCUGGGAUUCUGGAGGCCACGUCUAGAUACACUACCAAGACAGGCAGCCAAAGGGUGAUGCUAUCACCUCAUCUGCAUCCUAGGUAACAGCAUAUGCUUAAGCUCUUAUUGCUCUUCUGACCUUCCAGAAGCCCAAUCUUCUGCCAAAGGCCCAGAGUCCUUGUCCAGUGUAUUGUAAAGAGCCACCUCGGAGCCUGGAACAGCAGCUACAGGAGCAUAGGUAAGGAAGCCUUUGGCCAGUAAAGUCAGUUGUUUUCAUGGCAGCCUGAAGAAUGCUUCUUCUAGGACCAUGCACUGGUUACAUGGUCAUUGUCUGUUCAGGCCUGGUGUUAAUGAGACUGUUGAGAAGCCUGGAGUAUAAGCUGGCCAGGUGGCAGCAGCCCCUAAUGCGCUCUGCCAUUUCCUUGUAUUUCUCUGGGCUACGCUCAGCCCUAAGCUUUCAGAAGCAGUGGCCUAAAGCAGUGAUUGGGCGUUCCCCGUGGUGCUGUUUAUGUCAGCUGCUCGGCCAACGGGAAACCACCCUAAUCAUCACCCUGCCAAGAUGGUCUCUGUUUCUGAGCAGUCUUCGUAGUAAUUAGAGAAAAUGUAUAGGCGCUCACUUAGAUCAGAGGGGUCAGUCAGAUAGGAGCAAAACCCACAGUGGUGAAUUCUUCCUCUGACUUUCCCCUUGCAUGGAAGAGAGAGAAAUAGUGGGUGGGGGUGUCAGGUGUGAUGGUGCAUGCCUGGGAUCCCUUAGUCUCCUGUGACUAAGACAGGGGGAUACAAAUUUAAGGCCAGCCUGAACUAUAUGUAAGAUUCUCAAAACU
rnacentral:lncRNA from 1 species